GCAUAGCCAGAGCUCUGUACUCCUACCAGGCCCAAAGUGCAGAGGAGCUUUCCUUCCAGGAGGGGGCACUAAUCUACCAGAUUCGCUGUCAACACGGAGAGGUGCGUGUUUAAACUUUUAGUACAGUAUAUUCUGGAUCAGAAAGACUAUAGAAUUACACUUACAAACUCCAGUUGCUGAUGAAGGCCGUGUGGACCUCUAGUUUUUAUUAUAUUUUCCAAAGAAUAGAUGAAUUCAUGAAGCAGAACCUUAAACCUGUUCUGUUUUAACAUUCAUUAAUUUGAUGUUUCCUUCAUCACUACCUACAUAAAUAAAUUGGAUUAAGGUGGAUGAUGGUUUUUGGGAGGGAGAGCUGAAUGGACGGAUCGGCCUCUUCCCGUCGUUGGUGGUAGAGCUUGUACAUGAUGAAGGGGAGGAGGAGAACCAAGAGGAGUUCAGCACUCAAUGCUACCUCCCCUAGCUGUGUGGAGGACAAACAGCAAGCCGUUCCACUGAGGCUUGCAGACGUUACAGUAGAUACUGGGGCCAGCAACCACACAUCUCCAGAUCUCUCCAGCAGUCGACUAAGGCCCUGUCGAGCACCUCCCCCUCCUCCAACACUGAAGCCUUCACCACAACCCUGAAACAAAGACUUAAGUUACUGCCAAGGUUAACAAACAGACUUUCCUCAUUUUGACCAGUAACACUGUUGUGCCUUUCCUUAUAAUACAAGUAUUUAGCAUGUCCUUUGUGUUCUUCAGAAUGGACAGAUCUCAGCUCAAAGCAAGCGUAAAAAACAUACAGCAGUGUUGGAUUUACUCUUAAUUUAUAAAACAUCUCAUAAUCAGAAAAGAAUAAAUAUUUACGAAAAGUGAGAAGUUGAUACUGUAUUUGUUUAGUUUUUGAUGCCUGACGAUGAAUGCUUAAAGUCGUGGAGGAGAGUAGCACCUGUAGUACACUACAGCCACAAAAUCCAAGUGGAGAAGAUAGUCAAUGAAAAUGUAAUAUGCACAGCAAACUACUCUUUAUUGAAAGGUAAAUUAUAGACACAGUUUCACAUUGUUCUGUUUUCUGUGAAUAUUUCUGAUAUGCUGAGAACUGCCCUGUCAGGACAGCUCAUAUAUUGUAUAUACAUUAUUCCGUAUUUUCAGUGCAGUAUACUGGUGCAUCUAUACAUUUCUUAUGCUUCUAAAAUGGCUGUACCGUAUUGGGUAAAUUUUUCAUGGGGGAAAAAAACAUCUUCAAAUCAUCUGCAAUCUUAAUGCAUAUUUGCUUUUAACAGUGUAAUUUGAAAGAUUAUUUUGUGUACAUUUAAACUGGUUACAAGAUAACACACUUGACACAGAUGACAAGUAAAGAGUAAAAGAAGAAUGUGUAAUGUGAUGAGAUGAGUUCGUUUGGUGACUAUCUGAGAAACACACACUCUACCGUGAUCACAGUUCACAAUAAAAACUUACAAACAUGAACUUAUCGUGAAAAUGUCUACACAUACUGAGGAGGACAGGGUAAAUAUAAUUCUGUAUUUUCAGCUGAGCAGUGUUUUAGACUUCACUGAGGAAAAACACUCGGUUCAUAUGUUGACUGAGAAAUAAUCAAACAGAAGAUGGUUCAUGUGAAGAUUCAUGGAAGAGGAGUGAGAGGAAAACUAGGACAGCAGACUACAAAUUCUCUGGUCACUUUCCCAUGAAGGCCAGGAAAUGACAUUGACCCCUGACCUGAAACCUCUGAACUGGGUCUUGUAAACUCUUUCAGUUUCUGGUGAAUCAGUCUCCAGGGCCAGAGGCUCGAAUGUAUACUGGCUAAACGACAUAAUGUACAGCUCUAAAUAAACACAGAUCUAAAAAUACUUUCCAUGGUUUAAUGUCACCAUGGUGUCGUUCACGACAAACAAGAGACAGUCCCACUCCUUGUUGAAAUACAUUUCUAAAGGUUCAGGCCACUGAAAGGACAUUUUUCACUAGCUCCUAGUUUUACCUGCUAAUGAAAUUUCACUCACUUUCACUGUAUGUGUUGUGUUUAAACUUUACGUCAAACCAAGACUAUUUGCAUGAGCAACCACCAGGGAAAUAGAGAGGCCUACAUUGCUAUUUUUUGAUCGAUGUGUAAACACAGGAUUGUCCCUCUUGUUCCUGAGGAUGUAGUUCUGCACAGCAGAGUAUUUGGUCCACUGACAUAUAAACUCAGCAGAUUUGGAGAACAAAGGUAAAAUGUUUUCAGAAAAAGGUUGUGAUGUUAUGAAAAUAUCAUAUAAUUUUUUUAACAAAAAUGGAUGAGAAAAACUAGUGAUAAUCUUUAACAUAAUUUAUUAUUUUACUUUUCCAUAAUUAGUGUCUAAGUGCUUACUUUGUGAUUAUUCACACUGCAACAUGUCUCCAGUUUAGUGAUGUCUUUUUUUAAAGAAUUUUUUAAGAUUCUUCAGUCGUUGUGGCUCACUCGCAGUAAAUAUGCUAAGUAGGGAUGCCGGAUAAUAUCGGCACAUUAUCGGUAUCUGCCGAUAUUGACUUUAAAAUGAAAUAUCAGAUAUCAACCCUGAUAUAUUUUGUUUGCACAUCUCAAUGCAAUGCAGUGAGCCUAUCCCGGCAUUGUCAGACUAAUACUCAAAGACGUAUUAAUCUGUUUUUUUUCGAUUUCUAAGAGGCGUUACCAAUGGACGCAGACGAAUCAUGUGACAUCUGUUUAGCAACACAAAAAUGUCAACACACUAGUGCAGAGAGAAGAUGCCUGUGAUGAUGAUUCCACAAUGUCUGUGAACGUUUUUGUGGGAGAAAUUUGAAGAUAUCGGGUACUUUUAGUCGAAUUCUCGUUCAUCAGCGGCAGCCUUGGUUGUUUACAAAAGUCGCUUCUGUCCACGUCAUGGUAUAAACCCAAGUCAUUGUCAGAUAAUCGGUUGUGACUGGACCUGGACCUCGGUUGUGACCUGGAAUUGCUGUAAAGUUAGCAAUGCACUUUUCCAAUGUUCCCUGUAAACAGAUGUUAUGUUUAGUUACUUUUAGUACCCAAAUUUGCCCUUGUUGUGUGUAUUAUUUUUAUGAUUGUCUCAGGGAGAGCAUCACCCAAGCCGGUUUAAGUAGGAUGUAUCUCACUUGUUUUGUUUAAAAGGAAUUGUCAUAAAUAAAUACUGUAUGGCAUGUUUUACAUAACGUAAGUUUAAUUAUUUUUGCUAUAUUGCAUAAGGAAUUAAUAUUUCUAUAAAUUUAAGCUUUGUAUUUUAUGUCUUCAUUUGCUGGUGUGCCAACACGAUAACCGUAUGCAUAGCAAUAUGCUAAUUCCACAGCAGAAGAGACUUGAUGAUCCCUGCAAUUAAGUGUGGGAAAAAGAGUAUAUAUAUAUAUACAUUGGUUAUCGGCCAAAUGAGUUGUAAAAUAUCAGCAUAUCGGAUAUCGUCAAUCUAUUUAUCAUGUGUGUUUGAACAAGAUUCCUGGAAAACAUUUCACCUUUAUCUGUUUACCCCUAAAUGUUAUGAUUGUGUUAAUAUGAGCAGGUAACUAACAUUUUAAUCAUUCCAGCAGGAAGACCACCACUCAAAUUAAGUUUUGCUGUCAACAGUGUUAAUAAUAAUUACUAUAGCUCCGUCUAGUAAAUAAUGUCAUCAAAUUAAAGCCAGGUUGUAAAAAAAUAACAUCCUUUUUCCUUAAAACUGUGCAAAACUGAUUUAAUUUAACACCAUCUGUUCUCUGAAGUACGACUUCAGAUUUUUGGUACAGGAUAUAUUGUUUAACAGUGCUGUUAUUGUAGUAUAUACUGUAGAUGUACUGUACAGUGGAGGCCAUAUGUAAUGUGGUGCAUUAAUACUUAAUGUAAAAUAUCAUACAACUUUAAACCACAGCUCUGUCAGCAGAUGGCUCUCAUACUUAAACAACAUAAUUAAUAGUUUUCCAGACACUGGUGUGUUUUAACAUAUCUCAGUGAGCUCUGCAAUAUAAGCAAAUGAGGGGGAAAAAAAAGCUUCUGUCAGUGGAGUUCUACACUUACCAAUGUACAACCUAACUUGUUCCUUGUGAUGUAGAUAUUUUAAGUCAGAAACUAAAAUACAUACCGAAAAAAACACAUGUUAUGUCAAAACAUUAUUUCUACAUUUCAAAGCUUUAAGGACUAAAGAGUUUAUACUAUAUGGAAGUUUCGUGACUCAGUAGUCUGAGAGAUUAUUUCAUAUGUGGGACUUCACACUCCCAUGCCUUUUAGUCAGCUGGUUGCCCCACCACUUGGUCCAGACAAGAAUAUCAAUAAAAACAUUUUUAAAAAAAGAAACUAUUGGAUGUAUUCAAGCAAAGUUUUACAAAGAAAUUCAAGGCCCCCAGACUGGGACCUUGGUGAUCCCUUGAUUUUGUUUGGUCAUUAAACAAAAGUAUUUGAGAAAUGAAUUUGUUGACCUGAUGAUGGUGCUAAAAUAAACGUCAGAGGACCAUAAACUUCAUCCUGAAGGGAACAGAGUCUGAACCACAUGUUAAGGCAGUUGUUGGGGCAUUUCAUUUAUAACCAUUAAUGUGAAUCUCUUGGAGGCUCCAGAGGAAAGCAUAGAAAAUCCUAACUGUCAUAUGAAUUCAUAAUCUUGGAGUCACUCAAUAUCAUUAUGAUUCACUGCCUGUGCACUUUGGAUAUCUACCAAAUUAAAGGACAAUCCAUCCAACAGUUAUUGCAAUAUUUCACUAAACUUAACCUCAUGGAGGUGAUGAGUCUGGGAAUCAACAAAAUUAGGUGGAUGUAUAAUUUGGGAAGCAGGAAUUGACCAAUACUUGAGAUAUUUUAGUCUGGACCAAAGUGGUGGUCUGACCGACAUUUCCCUCUUUAGAUGCUUUGAUGCAAGUGUGAUUUGUGGUUAAAGGUACCAUAAUCUUGCUCAAAUCUGAUUACAUUUCUCACAUCUCAAUAAGAAAAUACAGUCUCAGUGCAAAAUAUACACAGCUGUGGUUAAAUGAUCAAAGCCAUGUUCAUAAUUCAUUUUAUUAUCAACACUUUUCCUUUCCUAUAGUGGUGCCAUGCUUCACUUCUUUCUUUGGAUCAUUAAAUAAUGGCUUGAACUUUUCA
ensembl:lncRNA